AGUGACGAUAGCCUAGGAGAUACACCUGUACCCAUGCCGAACACAGCAGUUAAGCCCUAGAACGCCGGAAGUAGUGGGGGUUGCCCCCUGUGAGAUAGGGGAGUCGCUUAGCU
rnacentral:rRNA from 1 species